GAAGCAAUGAUGGAAGCAUGGGGGCCAAAAACUGAGGCUGAAUCCUGAUAAGAUGGAGAUGCUAAUGCUUCAUCUGGUAACCAACCAGGCCUCCCACUAAUACAAGCCCGACAACACACCCAAGAGCAAUUCCAGCAAUGAUUCCUCCAGAGAGUCCUGUGGCUUUUGUUUCUUGUCCUGGUGCUGGAGAUUCUUCUUCUCCUCCUCCUCCUUCUGAAGACAAAGAAAGGCCACGUGAAAACUGGGAAGAGUAGCCACAAUGUCUUGCUCCUGCUAUCAUCAGAUACGUUUGCAGUGAUGUGGAAAUCUGGAAAACUGAAUUCAAGAUUGGGAAAAUGAGAACCUGGGAGAAGCCAAAAUGGACAGAUUUUCUCAUCCUGAGUAAUGGGAAUGCCAAUGGAAUGGGCAGAGUGUGGUUCCCAGAAACGCCAAGAUCAUCUUUAUUUCACACCCCAUUCCUCUCAACUGCCUCUCACUCAGAGCGUGUCUCAUUUGCUAAUGAAAAGAACAUCUUCUGAAUCAGGCCAAUGGCCCAUCUAGUCCACCGCCUUGUUCUCACUGUGGCCAAGCAGGUGCCCAAGAAGCCUGGAGGCAACUGGUUUUCAGAAAUAUACUGUCUUUGACAGUGGACCAUCUUAUGUGGCAUCAAGGCUAAGGGUAUGGGCUGAGAAAGUCAAAUCUUAUUCCAAAUCUUACUUCAGCUGUGAGUUCAUUAAGCAAUCCCAAGAGAGCACCACCCAGCCGCAGCAAUCCUGGCCUACCUUACAACGUUGUUGUAAAGGUUACUGCUUGGUGUGAAGGGCUUUGUGUUUUCUAAAAUGAUAUAGGAACGAGUUGCUAAUAAAGUCAUUAUCAUUCCUUCUAGGCCCUUCCAUACAGAGAUGUAUGCCUGGUGGGAAACAUCAACUGGCACCCAAUUUGCACGGGUUCCAAAGAAUCAUUUGAAGGGCUGUUCAGUCCAGGUCUCUUUAAGAAGAGAGAGCAGAGGGGCUCAUCAACACAGGGAAUAACCUGGGCAACAGACUGAGCAGGCACACGGGUCAUUA